GCGGGAACAAUUAUUAUUGCUGUUUUUUUUCUAUUAAUUUGUAUUAUAGCGGAUCCGACUAUUAUAGUCCGGAAAACACUUCAGUUCCGCGAGAAAAUCUCUCCCAACCCCUUCUCUAUGAAUCGGUAGAGCUUCAACAUAAAACAUUAAUUUUAAAGUUUUCUUAUUAAGCAACAAAAUAAAAUAGCCGUAUUCCAAAUCGUCUGUGAAAACCGCAAUAAUGACAAUUAGA
rnacentral:lncRNA from 1 species